AGAGUUUGAUCAUGGCUCAGGACGAACGCUGGCGGCGUGCCUAACACAUGCAAGUCGAGCGGAGCAUUAGCAAUAGUGCUUAGCGGCGGACGGGUGAGUAACACGUGGGUAACCUGCCCUAUAGAGGGGGAUAGCCAACCGAAAGGUUGAUUAAUACCGCAUAACCCAACAUGAGAGCAUUCUCAAGUUGGCAAAGGAGAAAUCCGCUAUAGGAUGGACCCGCGGCCCAUUAGCUAGUUGGUGAGAUAACGGCCCACCAAGGCGACGAUGGGUAGCCGAUCUGAGAGGAUGAACGGCCACAUUGGAACUGAGACACGGUCCAGACUCCUACGGGAGGCAGCAGUGGGGAAUAUUGCGCAAUGGGGGAAACCCUGACGCAGCAACGCCGCGUGAGCGAUGAAGGCCUUCGGGUCGUAAAGCUCUGUCUUCCCUGACGAUAAUGACGGUGAGGGAGGAGGAAGCCACGGCUAACUACGUGCCAGCAGCCGCGGUAAUACGUAGGUGGCGAGCGUUGUCCGGAAUUACUGGGCGUAAAGGGUGCGUAGGCGGAAAAUUAAGUCAGAUGUGAAAUCCCCGGGCUUAACCUGGGAAUUGCAUUUGAAACUGAUUUUCUAGAGUGCAGGAGAGGAAAGCGGAAUUCCUAGUGUAGCGGUGAAAUGCGUAGAUAUUAGGAAGAACACCAGUGGCGAAGGCGGCUUUCUGGACUGUAACUGACGCUGAGGCACGAAAGCGUGGGGAGCAAACAGGAUUAGAUACCCUGGUAGUCCACGCUGUAAACGAUGAGUGCUAGGUGUAGGAGGUAUCGACACCUUCUGUGCCGCAGUAAACGCAAUAAGCACUCCGCCUGGGGAGUACGGUCGCAGACUAAAACUCAAUGAAUUGACGG
rnacentral:rRNA from 1 species